rnacentral:lncRNA from 1 species
CGAGCACGGGCUAGAGCUGGGUUGGAUGGGACCCAGGCGCCGACGGGUUGGGCGAGCUCGAGGUCGAGAACGCCGACGCCUCGGCCUCGACGUCGACACGGCAGAAGCAGUCCCUUCUUGGAGUCCAGAGAGCUCAGGUCAUUGGAGGCACCGGCGCGGUCCUCUGCAGUACGCAGCUCCUCGGCGACCGCGGCAUGUAGCAUGUCAUGUCCUAGCAGUAGACAGUGACCUGAGCGCCACCAUCGCCGUCGUACACGGCGAAGAAGUGUCGCGGGGAUGCGGAAUGAGGUCGCUUAUUUGGUAGAAGCAUGGGACAACGACGAUGGCCUCCUCCAUCUCCGGGCAACGUCCGCAGCAGGACUCGAGACGCUUCCGCGUGCGCCACUAGAGACCGUCGUGGUCUCGGCGGCCACCGCAGACAGGACGUGGAGAGGAGAUAGGGCGGUCUGGCAUCGGCGGAGGCGACGCUGUUGCCGCGUCACUGGCAACGCAGCAAGCGCUCCCUCACGCGGACCCCCCCUUCGUCUGGCCCAGCGUCCCAACGAUGGCGAUGUAGCAGGCAGGCUAUCCGGGUGCCUGGCCGUCGCCGCGCGCGUCAACCUCCAUAGCCAGCCACCACUCGCGCUCGGCCUGCUACCGGUGACGCCCACCUCCAGCGCCGGCAAUCGGAACACCCACAGGUCCACCAUGGCCGACUCUAGGUCCUCGGCCCUCACGUCGCUCGCCACGUCCGGGCCGUUCUGCAUCAAUAAUCUUACCCAGCAGGCGAAAAAGAGGUAGGCCUUGUUACAGCCUAGCUUCUUGGAGCUGAGCACGGGCCUGUCGCAGCGGUCGUAGGCCUGCACUUGCACGCACUGGUUCUCCUCCGCCGUCAGGGCCUUGUCCAGUGCGAACGGCUAGCCGCAGCGCCAGCUCUUGCACCGCAUGAGCAGCCGGUGCUGCUUCAGCACCUGGUCCGUCNNNNNNNNNNNNNNNNNNNNNNNNNNNNNNNNNNNNNNNNNNNNNNNNNNNNNNNNNNNNNNNNNNNNNNNNNNNNNNNNNNNNNNNNNNNNNNNNNNNNNNNNNNNNNNNNNNNNNNNNNNNNNNNNNNNCAGGAGGGCGACCCCGACGAUGCAGACCAGCACGAAUGGAAGUAGGACGAACCAUCACUAAUGCGACCACGAAUGAACACGCAGCCCAAACCGGAAUGCAUGGAGCAACAACAGGAAAGGCGACUCCGAAUGAGUAAAAAAUCAAUUUGCAAACAGCCCGGAACAGUCUGGAAGUGAAACCCCCAGAACAUGCGGCAGAGGCGGCAACCGCCUGGAAAACGAAGCACCGACACACACGUAAUAAUGGGACAAAGUCAAAUUUGAAUCAGUCAUGCACGUGUCGCCUUCCCGUCGGGCCCAGGUGGGCACGGCUCGGUCCGGGUAUAUAUGGAUCCCACGCGGCUCCUCUUUCCCCCUGCUAGGUUUUCCGGCUUCCGCCGCUGAUCUGCGUCGCCACCGUUUUCCCAUUCGUCGCCUCGUUAGAUCUAGUCCUCCUCCUCCCCUUCUCCUUUCCUUUGCCGAGGUGCUCGCCAUGGAUAAGUCGCNNNNNNNNNNNNNNNNNNNNNNNNNNNNNNNNNNNNNNNNNNNNNNNNNNNNNNNNNNNNNNNNNNNNNNNNNNNNNNNNNNNNNNNNNNNNNNNNNNNNNNNNNNNNNNNNNNNNNNNNNNNNNNNNNNNNNNNNNNNNNNNNNNNNNNNNNNNNNNNNNNNNNNNNNNNNNNNNNNNNNNNNNNNNNNNNNNNNNNNNNNNNNNNNNNNNNNNNNNNNNNNNNNNNNNNNNNNNNNNNNNNNNNNNNNNNNNNNNNNNNNNNNNNNNNNNNNNNNNNNNNNNNNNNNNNNNNNNNNNNNNNNNNNNNNNNNNNNNNNNNNNNNNNNNNNNNNNNNNNNNNNNNNNNNNNNNNNNNNNNNNNNNNNNNNNNNNNNNNNNNNNNNNNNNNNNNNNNNNNNNNNNNNNNNNGGGAUCGUCUUGUGAGGUGGUCUCGGGCAGCAAGAGCCAGCGGGAGGAUUCCCCGGGCUCUGCGGUGGACCUGGAGCUCGAGGCUUCGCUCCGUUCCAAGUUGGAGGCGGAGCAGGCAGCUCGUGAGCAGGUGGCUCGCGACCGCGCGGCCUGGGCCGCGGGCCCGGAGUGGCUGCAGCGCUCGGAGCGGGAACGUGCGCCUGGAUCUGGUCCGCAGGGGUCCGGAUCUGGCCCAUAUCUCUCUCCGGCGGUGGAUCCGUGGGAGGCGGCGGUGUACGGUGGUGGGAUCUCAUCCUCGUCGGGCUCCCUGCCUGUCCCUGGCGCGGGGCGCGGCGCGCCUGCUCCGGCCCGUUUCCCCCCUCCCUCCCGCCCGGUUGGCACUGGUGCGGGGCCUCGCCCGUCGCCCCGGUCCUUUGCGGGGCCAGUGCGGAGGCCUGCCGGCCAUCUUCCGGGGUCCUCCUCCUCGGGGCUGGGGGACGGGCUCCUGCCUCCUUCCUUCCUCCUGCAGCCUCGUCCCAUCUCAUCCAACCCAAGCAACCCAUCUGCGCUCACCUGCUUCGCUUGUCAUAAGCCUGGUCACUUUCAGUCACGGUGCACCAACCCCCCGUUCUGCCUCAUAUGCCGAUCUGAUGGGCACCUCACUGUCAAUUACUUGAAUCGCCAGAAACCUCCCUCGAUCCUCCAGUUCGGUUUGGGGCUUCCUGGUUGCGCCUUCUUUGCUUUUGAUAGUGAUCUUCCUAUCCUGGAGGGGGCCCCCUCGCUUUCCAAUGCUGCCAUUGUUACUGUGAAGGAUCAAAAGAUUUCGUCUCAAAUUUGCUCGAAGGGCUUCGAAUCUGGGACAUAGAAGGGUGGGAUUGGCAAGUUGAUCAAGUGUCUGACUAUGAAUUCUCUGUUGUGUUCCCUUCCAAGGAUUUCCUGUGGGUGAUUGCCUUGUGCACUAGCUUCACCCUCCCCCUCAAUCAAUUGGUGGUCUCUGUCAAGCCGGCCUCGUGCAGUGGUAAAGCGGUUGGUCCUCUCUCUCAGGUCUGGGUUUUGGUUGACGAUUUGCCAGCAGGACUUCGCUCUUCUGCCUUUCUCAUGGCGUUUGGUGUUCUGAUUGGGAAACCUGUGGAGGUGGAUGUGGAGUCUCUGAAUAAGGUUGGUCCAGCUCGGAUUAAGAUUUGCUGUGUGGAUCCGGUUUGUGUUCAUGGAGCUAUCGAUGUUUUCCCCUCUCCCAACGGUGUCAGGCUCCGGGUGAGGGUGGAGGGUCGACUGCUUUCCAACCCCAUCCCCCCUCCUCCUCCCUCUAACCCCUCCGAUAAGCAUGAUAAGGAGGGGGGUGGUUCUUUGGGUGGUCAUAAUCAGAGUGAUGGAUCUAACUUGCAUUUCACCCAAUUUGAGUGGGAUGGUUUGGCUGAGUCUGAGCGGGAGUUGUUCCAAUCCCAAGCCCCUUCUGGCAUGGCUCCCCGCGAGCCGGUGGCGACCCCCCUGCUGAUCCUCUGAUGCCUGUUGCUGACGAUGUGCUGUUGAAGAACCUUCAUGUGUCGGCUACCCCUAUUUCUGGGGCCUGCUCCAACCUCCUGGCUCGCCCUAUUUCUCCCACUCGCUCUGGAAUUGAGGACCUGCCAGCUUCCCCUGGGCGUGAUGAGGUGGGAGCCCAGGCUAAGAGGAAGAAGAAGUCAUCAGUGCACAAGUUUUCGGCUAAGAGCAGGAAUUCAUCGGGCUCUAAGGAAUCCAUGACUGGGGUCUGCCGCCGCCUCGACAAGGACCUCGGAUCGAUGUCUCACUCGGGUACCAUUCCGGCGUCUCCCGUGGCUCGCUCUCCUGCGAUUCGGUCGCCCGCGUCCACGGCUCGCAAAGGAAGGUGGGUUGCUGAUUCGGGCGGCUCUAUCAUGGAGCGGGCGGAGAGGUGGGCUGCUGCUAAGGAUCUCCCUCCCCCAGGUAUUCAUCUUGGCACUUCUGUUUGUUCCUCCCUGCCUCGACUUGUUUUACCAUCUCUUUCCGAUGAUCACUUGUUAAAUAUUAUGUCGGAUGUGGGAGUGGCGGUAGAUCCCACGGUUGGUUCCCCUGGCUCUCUUCUUGCCACUAUUCGGGCUAACGAGGUGGCGCAGGCGGCCAUCGCUAAAGCUAAAGAGGCUAUUGUCUCUUUGGCUGCUGAUUCUGUUGGUAUCUGGGCUUCGGAUGCGGGUGGCCAUCCCCAGCCUAGCUCUUCUAGAAGGGGCCCUGCAAAAAGAUCUAAAUCCUGCGCGGUUCCUAGCAGGUCGACUCUUCGCAUUAAGAAUCUGUCUUAUAAAUGAGAGCCUUAUUCUGGAAUAUUAGAGGUUUCGGUGCUAGGGGGCGCCGAGACCAAAUUAAGGACUUGGUGCGUGCGGAUAAUAUUGAUUUGGUGGGGCUCAUUGAAACCUUUAAAGAAUCUUUUCCNNNNNNNNNNNNNNNNNNNNNNNNNNNNNNNNNNNNNNNNNNNNNNNNNNNNNNNNNNNNNNNNNNNNNNNNNNNNNNNNNNNNNNNNNNNNNNNNNNNNNNNNNNNNNNNNNNNNNNNNNNNNNNNNNNNNNNNNNNNNNNNNNNNNNNNNNNNNNNNNNNNNNNNNNNNNNNNNNNNNNNNNNNNNNNNNNNNNNNNNNNNNNNNNNNNNNNNNNNNNNNNNNNNNNNNNNNNNNNNNNNNNNNNNNNNNNNNNNNNNNNNNNNNNNNNNNNNNNNNNNNNNNNNNNNNNNNNNNNNNNNNNNNNNNNNNNNNNNNNNNNNNNNNNNNNNNNNNNNNNNNNNNNNNNNNNNNNNNNNNNNNNNNNNNNUUUCGUUGCUUUUGAUCAUGGGGUCUUCUGGGCUAGCACGGUAGUUUGUCACAAAGCCCUUAAUACUUUGUGGGAGUUUAUUGUGGUGUAUGGGCCGGCUGAUCAUUCGUUGUUGUCCUUAUUUAUAAACGAGCUUUCUGUGAAGAUCGAGUCUUGCAACCUACCGAUGGUUAUCAGUGGUGACUUCAACCUCCUCCCCUUUCCUUCUGAUAAAAGUAAUGAUAACUUCUCUUGGCCUUUGGCUAAUGCCUUUAAUUACUUUAUCAGCACCAACGCCAUCCGUGAGCUCCCUAGGGUUGGAGCCCGCUUCACUUGGUCCAACCACUAGGCCAACCCGAUUAGAUCUGUUCUUGAUAGAGUGUUCAUGUGUCCUAGGUGGGAUUCUCUAUUUCCUCGGGCCUCCCUCCUCGCUAAGUGCAUCGUUGGAUCUGACCAUGCCCCUCUUCUUCUUGAUGAUGGAAUGACCUAACUUAGACCCCCUGCUAGAUUCCAAUUUGACGCUUCAUGGCUGCUUGUCGAAGGUUUUAUUGAUAUGCUGGCCUCGAAGAUCUCCCUUCUUCUUUCCUCUAAUGCUCAUUCCUUUGGUCCUUUAGACAUCUGGCAUUCUUGUUCCUACAACUUGCGCAAAUUUCGUAGAGGCUGGUCUCGUAAUCUGCUAACCUGAAUGCCACUUCCGGGCCGGACGGCUUCUUGAUCCCUUUCUUUCAAAAAUUCUGGCCUCAGUUGAGGCAGCUGGUUUGCAGUGUUAUCUAGGGUUUUUGUCUAGGAACUAUUGAUAUUUCUCGUCUUAAUUACGCUAUUAUCUCCCUGAUCCCCAAGGUUAAAGGUGCUGAACUGAUCUCCCAGUUCCGGCCUAUUGCUUUGAUUAAUAACUUUGCCAAAUUCCCUGCUAAGGGCUUUGCUAAUCGUUUGUCCCCAGUUGCCCACAGGGUUAUCAGCCCCUUCCAGUGUACUUUCAUCAAAGGUCGCUUCAUUUUAGAUGGCAUCCUUUCUCUUCAUGAAAUUGUGCAUGAUUUACAUUCUCGUAACUCUAAAGCGAUCAUCCUAAAACUAGACUUUGAGAAAGCUUAUGACUAAGUCAGUUGGCCUUUUAUUAGGCAGGUCCUUCUUGCGAAAGGCUUCGACGCAUCUUAUGUGCACCGUAUCAUGCAGUUGGUCUUAGGUGGCCAUACUGCGGUUUCUGUGAAUGGUCAUAUUAGUAAAUUUUUUGCUAACGGCAGAGGCCUUCGUCAAGGGGAUCCUGCUUCUCCUGUUCUGUUCAAUUUUGUGGCCGAUGCCUUCUCUUGCAUUCUCUCUAGGGCGGCCCAGUAUGGUCAUAUCUUGCCGGUGGUCUCCCACUUAAUCCCUGAUGGGGUCACUCACUUGCAAUACGCUGAUGAUACUAUCAUUAUGGUUGAAUUGAAUGAUGCUUGCAUAGCCAACCUUAAGUUCAUCCUGUUAUGUUUUGAGGCGGUCUCAGGCCUGAAGAUUAAUUUUUCCAAAAGUGAGGUCCUAGUUACUGGUGUUGAUGAUUCGGAAGCCUUGAGAGUGGCUAGGUCACUAAACUGCUCCUUGGGUUCCUUCCCCUUCAAAUAUCUGGGACUUCCAAUUUCUCCUGUCAUGCUUCAUGCUAAGGACUUUGCUCCGGCUGUCUCUAAGGUGGGAAACAGGGUUCUUCCAUGGCGCGGGAGAUAUAACACCAACGCGGGCAAAGUUUCUCUCAUUAACGCCUGUCUUUCUUCCCUCCAUAUGUUCCUUAUGGGCUUCUACCUAUUAUCGGCUGGCAUUCAUGCCGGUUUUGACAAGCACAUGGGUGCUUUCUAUUGGAAUGCAGCUGAUAACAAGCGGAAGUAUAGGCUGGUUAAGUGGCAGCUAAUGUGUAGGCCUAAAAACCUUGGGGGUUUAGGCAUUAUUAACACGCUGGUGAUGAACAAAUGUUUGUUAAUUAAGUGGUGGUGGAAAAUCAUGACCAGUGGGGCCGAUUCUUUAUGGUAUUCCAUUCUUAAGGCUAAAUAUUUCCCUCAAUCUAGUCCUUUGUUUGCCGCGGCUAGGCCUGGAUCUCAAUUCUGGAAGAACCUUGUCAAAGUCAAACCUUUGUUCCUGGAACAUGUUAAGUUUAUCGUGGGUAAUGGUACCUCAGUCCGUUUCUGGCGUGAUUGGUGGUGUGGGGAUUCUCCUGUGGCUGUUAGUUUCCUGGUUAUGUUUUCGUACUAUCGGAAGCCGGAUAUCUCCAUCACGGAGGUGGCGACGAAUAAUUGGGACUUGGCCUUUCGCCGCUCCCUGUCUCCUGAAGAGUUGGAAGACUGGCAAAGUCUCUCUGCCUUCUUUCCUCUGCUCUCGAAGGCGCCGGAUUCUAAUGUUUGGCCCCAUUCGGCCUCUGGCCGGUUUUCUGUUAAAUCGUUAUACUCUAGGCUUAUUUGUGGUGCCUCUUCGAAUAGAUUUUCUUGCGUCUGGAGAUCCAAAGUCCCGCCUAAGAUUAAAAUCUUCCUCUGGCAAGCCUUCAGAGGUCGUCUCCCUGCGGCUCACCAAAUUCGAAAACGUAACGGGCCGGGCUCGGAGUUCUGUGCCCUUUGCGGUGCUUUGGAAAACACGAAUCAUAUCUUUUUUCACUGUGUGUUGGCUAAGCUGGUGUGGAGCUGUGUCCGGUCGUGGCUCCAGGUUACUUGGAACCCAUCUUCCUUCUCUGAGCUUAGAAGCCUCGCCAACAUGUUGGUUGGGGUCACUAAGAGGGUUUUCUGGGUUGGCUUGGGUGCCAUCUGUUAGGCUUUAUGGACUAUUAGGAACAAAUUUACUAUUGAACAUGUCUUUCCAUCUAAGGCUGUUGACGUUCUUUUCAAAUCAUGUAUAUUCCUGCAGUAGUGGAGAUUAUUGACUAAAGAGGACGAUCGGGGAGCUCUGGACCUGCUCAUCUCCGAAAUUCGGGCCUCGGCGUCCUACAUCUCCGGGCAGGAUCCUAACGUCUGACCUCGCUUGUCGUUGAUUCGUCGUUUUGGUUGAUGUGUGUCUUUUCUCUUUCCGGCCUGCGCGUUGAGUUUGGCAGGUUGCCAUGUACCCCUUAAACUUUUGUUUGCCUGGUCCCGAGUCUUCGUUUCGGUGGAUUAUCCCUGUUUCGCCCCCUGUUGGUGUUUGGGCCUGUGACUCUGGCUUGUGGCUUUAUUUAUAAAGUCGGGCUUAGGCCUUUUCUCUAAAAAAGAACUCUGGAACAACAUCAAAAGAAAUGAAUCUGUCUGUUCCCAGAACAAACAACUGUAAGAGGAUAACAUAGUGAACGAAAGCCCUAAGCUUGACGAAAAAAAUCUUUAUGCACCGGGUUGCGAAAUUCACAAGGCCGUAUAGUGGAGUAUAUUAUUAGUACAAAUUAAUAGCUGGGUACCAACGCCUUCCUCAAGAUGGUAAGGACAAUUAGAGUGAGCCCUCUAGCUGUAUCUUGUGUUGACCUGCUAGACCAAGUUUGUCAUAUGUAGUGAACUAAGCUUGGCUAGUCAUGAACUGAUGACCUCCAUCAGAUCCAAGCUAGUCGGGACUCGGAAGUACUUCAAAUGCAGCUCAAACUAAGUGGACUCUUGGGGGUAUCAUCCAAACUAUAGGAAUGCUGGUAUUUUAUAAUUGGCUUGAGCGCAAUAGCACAAUCUGUCAGACCAGUAGGACCAAAGUGUAAUUGUUUGUCCUAAAAUCGUACUGUAGCUGGGAGAGGUAGCCCGACGCAGGAGGCCUCGGCUCUUUCUCCUCCGGUCGGGGCGACGGUGCCUGCGCCUCCAGUGGCGCUGGGAGGGGGAGGCCUGGGGCAGGCGGCCCUGGCUCAUCCUCCCUCUUCGGUGGUCAGGAGGACCGCGUCUCCGUCGACGACGGCGCCCGUCUCAGCGCCGAGGGGUGGGGCGGGAGGAGGGCUAGGGCAGGCGGCCCCUGUCAUCCUCUCUCCCGUCGUGCCCAUGGCCCUGGGCCUCGGUGUGGGGCACUCGUCCGAGGGGCAUGGGAGCCCUCAGCCGCCUCCUCCAGUAACCUCGGUUGAUCCUUUGCGGGAUUCCGCGCGGGGCUUUACUAGGGAGGAGGUUGUUGCUUUUGGCGGGAUCCCUGACCCGGUCUCGAUGGGGAGACGGAUGAGUGCUCGCAUUUUGGUGCUUCCGGAGGUUGAUGACUUGCAGCAGAGGUGCGCUAUGAGGGCGGCCAAGCUUCAUGAUGCUGAGAUCUCUACUGGUAUGUCCAUCAACAUAUCUAAUUCUUUAUUGCAUUUUUCUCAUGAGGAAAUUAUAAAUAAUGCAAAUCAAUUAGGAGUUUCACUAGGGGCUACUGAUAGUGAGAUUUCCAAAUCGGUGAAUGAUAUGUUAGAUUUGGAGGCGGAGCGUGCCUUAGAGACUAUUCGUAAUCUCGCAGCGGUAAAACCCAUGAAUGAUGAUGAGAUCGAUGCGUUAGGGGUCAGAGUACUCGAUAACCUGCGUGCGGAUCUAGCACCCUCCAAUCAUGAGUCUGAGGACGAUGAUGUGCUCCUAGAUAAUGCAGUUGUUAGUACCGCUGAGCCCGAUUAUGAGGACCGGGUGACAGAACCUAGUAACCAAAGUGCAAGUGGAAACGGAAGAUUUAUCCUGACUCUGCAAUUCGUAGGAGUGCUAGGAUUCGGACUACUAAAGAAUUUCAUGAUGAAAUAUAAGAGGAAUCUUUUGGAAUAGCAGAGGUCUGAAAGACUUGGCUAAAAGAAGGUUUCUUGUUGAGGCAUCUCUGGAGCAUCGUUUAGAUUUUAUUGCUCUUUCCGAAACUGGUAGAGAUAACUUUGCGCCCCAGUUUCUUUCCUCUCUUGUGGGUGGUGUUGAUUUCGACUAGCAUUGCCUCCCUCCGCGGGGAAGAUCGGGUGGUAUCUUGCUGGGUGUGAGAUGCGAUUCGCUUGAGGUCCGAAGUGUAGUGAUGGGAGACUUCGCGGUUAAGUUUCGAGUCAGGUCUAGAGUUGAUGGGUUCAACUGGGCAUUGGUGGCGGUUUAUGGUGCCGCACAGCCCGAGCUUAAACCAGAAUUUCUGGCGGACCUUGUUUGAAUCUGUGGGUCCGAGCAGCUUCCAAUUUUAGUUGGGGGUGAUUUCAAUAUCAUUAGGAGGAGAGAGGAGAAGAAUAAUGAUAACUUUGAUGGCAGGUGGUCGUUUAUGUUCAAUACCAUUAUUGAAAGCUUGGCUCUGAGGGAGAUAGAGCUUUCUGGUAGGAAGUUUACCUGGGCUAGUGCUAUGCCAAAUCCGACUUACGAAAAGCUUGAUCGAGUUCUCGCAAGCGUGGAGUGGGAACAGAAGUUCCCUCUUGUUACGGUUCAAGCUCUCUCGCGGGGCGUAUCCGAUCACACACCCUUGUUCAUGGACUCGGGGGAGCCGAACCACGUGGGAAACAAGAACACCUUUUCAUUCAAGAUGGCUUGGUUCGAACGCGAAGGGUUCUUGGACCUGAUUGCCAGGGAAUGGGCUAAGGGUGCAGGAGGUAGGACUGUGGUCGAGCGUUGGCAGAAUAAGAUUAGGAAUUUGAGAAGUUUCUUAUGGGGUUGGGCUAAGCACCUUAGUGGGGUGUAUAAGAUUGAAAAGGAUAGGCUCCUUUCUCUUAUACAAACCCUAGACUUAAAGGCCGAAUCCACGAUUUUGCUGCCAGAUGAGCUUCAGGUUAAAAAUGAGGCAGAGAAGAGGUUGAAAGAACUUCUCCGCGAGGAAGAAUUGAAGUGGGCUUUGCGGGCUAAGGUUCGCAAAGUGGUCCAGGGGUACGCGAAUACUCAAUUCUUUCACUUGAUUGCUAAUGGUAAGCACAGAAAGAAGAUAAUCUUCCAGCUUGAACAAGAUGAGGGCGCUAUUGUAGGACAGGACAACCUAAAAAACUAUAUAACCGAGUAUUAUAGGCAGUUAUUUGGACCUCCGGAGGAUAAUUGUGUGUCCCUCGAUGAGUCCAGGACUGAGGAUGUGCCGCAACUUUCGGCUGCUGAUAAUUGGUUGCCCCGUUCUCAGAGAAGGAAGUGUUUGAUGCUAUUGCACAGAUGAAAAAUAAUAAGGCUCAUGGACCGGAUGGAUUCCCGGUCGAGUUCUACAAAAAGUGCUGCCACAUUAUUAAGGGGGAUUUGCUACCUUUGUUUCAUGAUAUGUUCGCUGGACAGCUUCACUUAUUUCACUUGAAUUUUGGAACUAUCAUGCUGCUUCCUAAGAAAACGGAUGCUGUGAGAAUUGAGCAGUUCAGGCCGAUAUGCCUUCUCAAUGUUAGUUUCAAAAUCUUUACCAAGGUCGGGACUAAUAGGCUCACACGGAUUGUGCAUUCUAUGGUGCAACAGUCCCAAACUGCUUUCAUGCCGGACAGAAACAUCCUUGAAGGGGUGGUUGUCCUUCAUGGAACGCUCCAUGAAAUCCUUUCCAAAAAAUUAGAUGGAGUAAUUUUUAAGGUGGAUUUUGAGAAAGCGUACGAUAAGGUCAAAUGUCCUUUCCUCCAGUAGGCAUUGCGUAUGAAAGGUUUUGAUGAAGCCUGGCGCCGCCAGGUUGAAUCAUUUACGCAAAAAGGGAGUGUGGGAAUUAAAGUGAAUGACGAUAUUGGUCAUUACUUCCAGACACAUAAAGGCCUAAGACAAGGAGAUCCAAUGUCCCCUAUCCUGUUUAACAUUGUGGUUGAUAUGUUAGCAAUUUUGAUUGGAAGGGCUAAGGAGAAUGGUCAAGUAGGUGGCUUGGUACCUCAUCUUGUUGAUGGAGGUUUAUCCAUUCUUCAGUACGCUGAUGAUACAAUCAUCUUUAUGGAGCAUGACUUGGCCAAGGCGAGAAAUAUGAAGCUGGUGUUAUGCCUUUUUGAACAAUUGACUGGGUUAAAGAUUAACUUUCAUAAGAGCGAGUUGUUCUGCUUUGGUAGAGCCAAAGAUGAACAGGAGGCUUAUAGGUAAUUGUUUGGGUGCGAGUUGGGGGAUUUACCUUUCUCUUACCUAGGUAUCCCAAUCCACCAUCGUAAGCUGACAAACAGAGAAUGGAAGUGCAUCGAAGACCGAUUUGAGAAGAAACUAAGUUGCUGGAAGGGCAAGCUCAUGUCAUACGGAGGCCGAUUAAUUCUGAUUAAUUCGGUGCUCACGAGUAUGCCUAUGUUUCUCCUAUCGUUCUUUGAAGUCCCAGUUGGUGUCAGGAAAAGACUGGACUUCUAUCGAUCUCAUUUCUUUUGGCAGGGUGAUGAACUAAAAAGAAAAUACCGGCUUGCUAAAUGGGAUAUCAUUUGCAGAACGAAAGACCAAGGGGGUCUUGGUAUUGAGAAUCUCGAAGUAAAGAACAGAUGCCUUCUCAGUAAGUGGUUGUGGAAGUUGUCAUCUGAGACUGAUGCCACGUGGGCGCAAAUCCUUCGCAGCAAGUACCUACAGACAAAAUCCUUGUCCCAGGCCACAGUCAGGCCGACUGACUCGCCUUUCUGGAAAGGACUGAUGAAAGUCAAACAAUCCUUGUUUAAUAGGACAAAGUUUGUCAUUGGUAACAGCGCCCGUACACGGUUCUGGGAGGAUACUUGGCUCGGCGACUCACCCUUGGCCAUUCAAUAUCCGUCUUUAUGUCGUAUUGUUCAACGACGUGAGGUGUUCGUUGCAACGGUAUUUCAAUCUAUCCCCCUUAAUAUUCAGUUUAGAUGGUCGCUAGCGGGCAAUCGUUGGGAAGAAUGGCUCCGUCUAGUUAGAAGACUGAUGGAGGUUCAACUUUCUCAACAACCUGAUGAAUUACGCUGGAAACUGACUAGGUCUGGAGUUUUCACAGUUAAAUCAAUGUAUAUUGAUGUUAUUAAUUCAAACUCCGUUCCUACCUCCAAGCAUGUUUGGGCUGUCAAAGUUCCAUUGAAAAUAAAAGUGUUUAUGUGGUUUGUUCAUAAACAAGUUAUUUUAACCAAGGACAACUUGAUAAAGCGUAAUUGUACGGGACCUACUAGGUGUAGUUUCUGUGAUUGGGAUGAGACGAUCAAACACCUCUUUCUUGAUUGACCGUUGGCCAAGGUCCUUUGGCGGACGGUCCACAUUGCUUUUAAUAUUACUCCACCGAAUUCUGUCAACAACUUAUUUGGGACAUGGCUUAAUGGGAUUGAGCCUGACUUAGCGAGUCAGAUUCGUGUUGGAGUUUGCGCUUUGUUGUGGACUAUUUGGAAUUGCAGAAAUGAUUUGGUUUUUAACAGAACAUCACGUAUUCACUUUUUGCAGGUUAUUUUCCGGGCCACGGCAUUGAUCCAUUCGUGGUCGCUACUCACUCCGAUGGAGGCCAGGGAGCAUUUGGUUACUGGAUCCAUCCGCUGGGAGAUGGUAGCUCGGGAUAUCUUCAACCGGUUUGGAUGGCGGUCAUGUAAUAGGAUAGGCAAUUAGUUACCUAUCUAUCUUUAGCCAGCCGGUUGUGGUGUCUUUGUCUAGCUAGUUUGUAUUUCUAGCCCUUUUUGGCUCUGCGUGAGCUUUCUUUUCAGUUUUUUUACUGUUGGAGACUUUGGCACCUUGUUUGGAACCUUUUUAUUUGAUUAAUAAGAUGGCCGUAUGCAUCACUCUGAUGCAGAGGCCUGGGAGAACCCCCUUUUCGAAAAAAAAAAGUAAGUUCAGCAAACAUCUAAACACAUCAAAGACUUUUUUUCUCGAAUACGCACAAGCAUGCGUAUCAUAUAUUAAAGAAAGAACACACACAUCAGAGAUGAUUCUUAGCAUUAUCACCCAAAGUACUAUGGGAAUGUUAGAACAUAUAAUUGGCUUGAGCAUAAUAGCACAAUCUGCCAAUACAGCAGGAGCCAAACUGCAAUGUUUUAUCACCAAAUUGUAUUCUAACAAGAACAACAAUUCCCCUUAUUCAGCAAGUGUUGGGCAAGCACCUAUUUGGAGUUUCGGACACAUCAGAGACUAGGAAUGCAAAGCUGCAGAGGGAGACUGACCUCUCAUUUGUGUCCUGAUCAGAGUCAUGGAUAUUCAAAUGGAAGUGUACACGACGUUGUCCCACUUAUUGGCGGCGAGCUCGCUGACGAGCUUGAGGGCCUCGGUGGUCGUCUCAAGCAAGCCGAUGCAGACGACGUUUGGUUUUAUUGUUGUUUACAAUCAUUAGUUCAUAUCUAGACUCUCAGACGAGUACCUUCAUUUGGCCAAAAUGGGGGUCCUCUCCGGUGGUGGAUGGAUGAUACUGUGACGACGUCUGACCUCUCCGAAGUAGAGAUCAUAUUCUUCCAAUGGAUGCAUGUUUUCACAUCUAACACACAGUUUUUCCCCUCUACAUUGGUCAUUUAUUGCUUCGGUGAUUGAGUGACACGUCAUUUUCAAGUUGUGUGCGUCUUUUUGUUUGUUCUUGUGUGCGUUUUUGCACACUUAUUUCUUGAGAUAUGUUCCCUGUUUAUGGUCAAGUCAUUUGUGGUUUUAUCAGUUUAAGAGCAUCUCUACCAGACCCCGCAAAAGCUAAUUUGUCAUGGAGUAGAUUGUUCUUAGUAAAAAAGGGGAUGUGCCACACCUCUUCCCACUUGAUCUCGUCGUUCUCACCCGACCCGAUGCCACCGCCACUUGCCUCACCCCGGCCUUUCCCGGUCCGAUGCCCCCAGGAAUGCACAUCCCCCACUCUUCGAACCGCGGGGUGCCAUCAUCGGCGCUAGUCCGAUGGCUAAUUAGGCUCCCCAAGCACCUAAGACAACACCAAUGCAAAAACAUCAUCAUGAAUCUCCGUCACCAACAGCGGUGGCCGCUCGCUCUGUCGCCAUCAUCGGAAUGUCCUUGGCCUAGCAGACCAGCAAACGGGAGCAUCGGCCUUCGACCAAGGCAACGGACAUCACGAUGGUGCCGGUAAAGAAGAAGAAGAUGACGCUCGCACUGACGUCUUCCCCUUGGCUUCAUGCAACCGUGCCACCACCCACUCAACCUCUGAGGGCCGAAGAGGAGCCCGAUUUGGACGAGACAAGGAGUGAGGUCGACACACUCGACAAAAAGCCCGCAGGGUCUUUUUCACAAUUUCUCAAAUGAUUGAUGCAUGAUGUGAUCCUAGUUGUUAGGUUUUUCCUUUGCUAUUGCAGUGAGCGAUUGAGAAAUGAUCCAGACGUUGUUAUAGAAUAAUUGAAUGCAAGCCAAACACUCGGCCUUGACGACAUUGCCGUGCCCAUGCCUUAUAGCCAAGAUAUGAUGAGAAAAUUAAACAAGCAACACACUCGGCCUUGACGACAUUGCCAUGCCCAUGCCUUAUAGCCAAGAAAUGAUGAGAAAAUUAGACAAGCAACACACUCAGCCUCGAUGACAUUGCCAUGUUCAUUCAGUGCCUUUUAGCACAAAUUAUGAUCACGUUUUAGUUGUUUGUUGGAUUGGAUGCAGUUUACUUGUCCUCUUAGUUGAAUUAUGAUGGGGUGCAUUUAAAUUGUUUAUGUUUGUAUUGAAAUGUGAUGCACUUGUUUGAACUGUUUGCGCAAGCAUUUCAAUGAAUUGGCAAAAUUAAAAGUUUGGGAUAUGGUAGAUGAUGGGAAGUUUAAUCCCUAAAAAUAGCUUUUUCUUGGAUGGGGAUUAAAUUAUAGAGGAUAUGCUAGCGAUGCUCUAGUGUCGGAUGUAAUUCCUUUUGUUUAAAUAAUGACCAACAUUAAUAGCCGGCCACCGAGAUGGGGCGUUACUAUAGGUGUGACGAUUUUUAGAAUUUCUCUUGAACCUGAAGUUGUAUUACCUCUGAGACUAUUUAUGACUUCCUCUUCCAUGAUACUUUGUCUUCUGUAGUGGAGUACAUGACAUUGUUUAGUGCACUUGUGUUCAAUCUACGAUGCGAUUGUUUAGUGAAUAAUAUAGCACUCGCAACGAGGUGUGAGCCAUCCUUCACUUUUAUCAUCAUUGUAUAUUGUACUUUUUACCCUUUUGAAGUAACCAUGGUGCGUAUAAAUCUAUCAAUCCACCAAAGUCACUUCUCUUGAUGCACCUUACCAGGACAAUUAAGAUCAACAAAUAUCUAAUGCAGAUAAUUUUCAUCCAUCCCGUGAGUAAAGUCAUACCUACUUGUCUGACAUAUCGUGCAUUAUUUCUUUCUACAUAUGCUAGACGAAGGAUGCCAUGCAAUGAGUGGCCCGUGUAGUGAAGCUAGCAAAGAUGCAACACAUUAUCCUCUUGUAUUGGAUUUUUCACCCACCCUCACGAAAAUAUCACAUCUUUGAGCGGAAAGGCAACUCUGGAAUAUGAUAGUACCUUCGGGAUGUGAGACAUUGGGAAAACAAUUCAAUCUAGUCGCCCAAUUUAGAGUACGAGACUUUUUCUUGGGGCUUAAAUCUGAUGAGUUUGAUGCACACCAUCCAUCUUCUAAAUUGUGUCUAUCUUCUUUCCCCGAUUCGGGACCGAAGAGUACACACCACUCCUCCAUCUGAUGACUUUGCUGAUGGGUGACGGUCCACAAGUUGAGCUCCAUUUGGUAACCCUUUCCUUGGUGUGCGCCUCGUGUGGGCUAACUAGUUGAACAAGAAAAGUGGGUGCAAGUUGCUUGGUCCGCCAAGGUGGUUGCUUGCCUGAGCCCAAAGAGCAUUAGUGAGAAUGGCCACCAUGGAGCAACCAUCUGAUCUUUUUCUUUACCAGAGGAAACUGAGGUUGUCUUGCUGAAUUCCUUCCUUUCUCAUUUCAAUCCUCGCCCUUUCCAUCUUCCAUAGGGACCCUUAGUCUUUUGAUUAAAUGCUAUAUGUGAAGUUCAAUAAAUGUUCAUUUGCUUCGUGUGUGCUUAUCUGUCCGUUUUGAGAUUAUAACAUUUCGGUUUGGAUAGAAUCUUAGGAGUAUUUGGAUGUGGUAUGUCGCUUAAGCUAACCCUAAUUUGAAUCCAUAUCCUCCUACGCCGAACAUGGUUUCAAUAGGCAAAUAUCAAAAGAAGAAAAUGAAUUCACUCAUAUGUCAAUUUUGCAAAUGAGAUUCUCACUCUAGCAACAACAAAAUAAUCAAUCCCACAACCACACACAAGCAUUCUAUUUAUUUCAUACUUCCAAAGCAAGAAAAAUACAACGUCUGCAGAAGCAUAUUAGUAUAUACUGUGUGCUUCAUACAGAGCAACAAUGACUGACCAAUGUACAGAUGCAGAAUAGCAAGAGAGAUUUCAGGCUCAAUAGAAACUCUGCACGAAAAAUGGCGGGUUGGUUCUGAACUUUGAAUAAAUUGUAUGCAAGAAUUUUAAAUCAUGAGAGAAGGAAGUUGUAAUUGUUCGCUUUAGUGCCACACAUAGCAGGGCCAGCAGACCUGAACACAGUUAAUGAUCUAGAUGACUCUGAGUCUCGAUCUGGAUACAUAUUGAAAGUGGGAGCAUUUAGCUAGAGUAGCUCCGUGCAGAGCAUUGUAGACAUCAAAAUUUGCAAAAUACAUACGGAUCUGAAUAUGGCAGACCCGUUGACUAAACUUCUCUCACAAGGAAAACAUGAUCACACCUUAGUACUCUUUGGAUGUUAAUCAGAUGGCGAUGUGAACUAGAUUAUUGACUCUAGUAAACCCUUUGGGUAUUGAUCACAUGGCGAUGUGGACUAUAGAGUGUUAAAACACAUGACGAUGUGAACUAUUGGUGUUAAAUCACAUCACGAUGUGAACUAGAUUAUUGACUCUAGUGCAAGUGGGAGACUUGAGGAAAUAUGCCCUAGAGGCAAUAAUAAAGUUAUUAUUUAUUUCCUUAUAUCAUGAUAAAUGUUUAUUAUUCAUGGUAGAGUUGUAUUAACCGAAAACUUAGUACAUGUGUGAAUACAUAGACAAACAGAGUGUCCCUAGUAUGCCUCUACUUGACUAGCUUGUUUAUCAAAGAUGGUUAUGUUUCCUGACAGCAGACAUGUGUUGUCAUUUGAUGAACAUGAUCACAUCAUUAGAGAAUGAUGUGACGGACAAGACCCAUCUAUUAGCUUAGCAUUAUGAUCGUUACAGUUUCAUUGAUACUGCUUUCUUCAUGACUUAUACAUGUUCCUCUGACUAUGAGAUUAUGCAACUCCCGAAUACCGGAGGAACACCUUAUGUGCUAUCAAACGUCACAACAUAACUGGGUGAUUAUAAAGAUGCUCUACAGGUGUCUCCGAAGGUGUUUGUUGGGUUGGCAUAGAUCGAGAUUAGGAUUUGUCACUCCGUGUUUCAGAGAGGUAUCUCUGGGCCCUCUCGGUAAUGCUCAUCACUAUAAGCCUUGCAAGCAAUGUCACUAAUGAGUUAGUUGCGGGAUGAAGUAUUACGGAACGAGUAAAGAGACUUGCCGGUAACGAGAUUGAACUAGGUAUAAUGAUCGAUGAUCGAAUCUCAGGCAAGUAACAUACCGAUGACAAAGGGAACAACGUAUGUUGUUAUGCGGUUUGAUCGAUAAAGAUCUUUGUAGAAUAUGUAGGAGCCAAUAUGAGCAUACAGGUUUGGCUAUUGAUUAUUGACCGGAGAUGUGUCUUGGUCAUGUCUACAUAGUUCUCGAACCCGUAGGGUCCGCACGCUUAACGUUCGAUGAUGAUUGGUAUUAUGAGUUUAUGUGAUUUGAUGUACCGAAGGUUGUUUGGAGUCUUGGAUGAGAUCAUGGACAUGAUGAGGAGUCUCGAAAUGGUCGAGACAUAUAGAUUGAUAUAUUGGACCAUGAUACGUCUCCAACGUAUCUAUAAUUUUUGAUUAUUCCAUGCUAUUAUAUUACCCCUUUUGGAUGUCUAUGGGCUUUAUUUUACACAUUUAUAUCAUUUUUGGGACUAACCUACUAACUGGAGGCCCAGCCCGUAUUGCUGUUUUUUUGCCUAUUUCAGUAUUUCGAAGAAAAGGAAUAUCAAACAGAGUCCAAAUGGAAUGAAACCUUCGGGAACGUGAUUUUUGGAAUGAACGUGAUCCGGGGAGCUUGGAGUGCAAGUCAAGAAGCAGCCGAGGAAGCCACGAGAUAGGAGCCCCCCCCACCCCCGUAGGGCGCGCUCCCUGUCUCGUGGGCCCCUCGGGCGGCCACCGACGUACUUCUUCCUCCUAUAUAUACCUACGUACCCCGAAAACAUCCGGGGGCACCACGAAACACAAUUUCCACCGCCGUAACCUUCUGUAUCCGCGAGAUCCCAUCUUGGAGCCUUCGUCGGCACUCUGCGGGAGGGGGAAUCGACCAUGGAGGGCCUCUACAUCAACAUCCUUGCCUCUCCGAUGAGUUGUGAGUAGUUUACCAUAGACCUACGGGUCCAUAGUUAUUAGCUAGAUGGCUUCUUCUCUCUUUUUGGAUCUCAAUACAAUGUUCUCCCCCUCUCUUGUGGAGAUCUAUUCGAUGUAAACUCUUUUUGCAGUGUGUUUGUCGAGAUCUGAUGAAUUGUGGGUUUAUGAUCAAGUUUAUCUAUGAAUAAUAUUUGAAUCUUCUCUGAAUUCUUUUAUGUAUGAUUGAGUUAUCUUUGCAAGUCUCUUCGAAUUAUCAGUUUGGUUUGGCCUACUAGAUUGGUCUUUCUUGCCAUGGGAGAAGUGCUUAGCUUUGGGUUCAAUCUUGCGGUGUCCUUACCCAGUGACAGAAAGGGUUGCAAGGCACGUAUUGUAUUGUUGCCAUCGAGGAUAAAAAGGUGGUGUUUAUAUCAUAUUGCAUGAGUUUAUCCCUCUACAUCAUGUCAUCUCGCUUAAUGCGUUACUCUGUUCUUAUGAACUUAAUACUCUAGAUGCAUGAUGGAUAGCGGUCGAUGUGUGGAGUAAUAGUAGUAGAUGCAGGCAGGAGUCGGUCUACUUGUUAUGGACGUGAUGCCUAUAUACAUGAUCAUGCCUAGAUAAUCUCAUAACUAUGCGCUUUUCUAUCAAUUGCUCGACAGUAAUUUGUUCACCCACCGUAAUACUUAUGCUAUCUUGAGAGAAGCCUCUAGUGAAACCUAUGGCCCCAGGGUCUAUCUCUUAUCAUAUUUGCUUUCAAUCUACUUUUAUUUGCAUCUUUACUUUUGCAUCCAUAUUAUAAAAUACCAAAAUAUAUUUAUCUUAUCAUACUAUCUUUAUUAGAUCUCACUUUCGCAAGUGGCCAUGAAGGGAUUGACAGUCCCUUUAUUGCGUUGGUUGCGAGUUCUCAAUUUGUUUGUGUAGGUGUGUGGGACUUUUGAGGAGCCUCCUACUGGAUUGAUACCUUGGUUCUCAAAACUGAGGGAAAUACUUACGCUACACUUGUUGCAUCACCCUCUCCUCUUCGAGGAAAACCAACGCAAGCUCAAGACGUAGCAAGAAGGAUUUCUGGCGCCGUUGCCGAGGAGGUCUUCGCUCAAGUCAAGACAUACCAAGUACCCAUCAUAAACCCAUCUCCCUCGCAUUUACAUUAUUUGCCAUUUGCCUCUCGUUUUCCUCUCCCCCACUUCACCCUUGUCGUUUUAUUCGCCCUCUCUUUCUCAAUCUCCUCCUCUAUUUUUUUGCUCGCUUUCUUCCGCCUUGAUUUUGUUUGCCGCUAUGUCUAAAAUUGGGGGGAUUAUCGUCGAUAUGGACAAUAAUGAUAAUAUAGAAAAUCCCGAGGCUCCGGCCGAUGAACCCCCUAUCUUGCAUACUAAAAAGUUUUGAAUCGGUAGUGGUAACAUCAUUGGCAAAGGUGUUAUUCAAGAUUUCUUUACUUGUGCCGGUGCUUUACCUUCCAUGGGUUGUUCUAUUCUUCAUAGAACUAGUAGUCUUGCGGAUGCUAUCGCUAUGCUUGUAGUUGAACUUGAAAGACAAUUUAUGCAUAUGCAUCCUUGCAUACAAAGAAUUUUCCUAGAAUUCUCUAAUAUUGAGCAUUCUUCUGUUAAUCAUGCUGUUACUAUCUUUUUGGCUGAUGAGUUUAGAUUUAUCAUAAGAGAGGCCAAAGAAAUCUUUGCGCACUAUAGGGUGGACGCCGGUCGUCCUCCCAUAGAGGCUAUCCUCUAUGAUCAAGAGGAAUUUAGACGUUUUCAAUCUUCGGACUAUGUUGCUUUUAAUGAAAACCUUAGAAAAAAGGUUCCUACCAAUGUCUUGGUUGAUUGCAUUAACGAGCUUAAUAAUGAUUUUUCCUUCGAAACAAUGAGCUAGGAUACUCUCUUGAGUAUAGGCUCACAAGGUUUUGCCAAAAGAAUGCUUUUAGUGAUGAAAUAGUUGUGCACUAUGAAGGGCCAAAGGAGGAACUCGUUCCUCCUGUGAUUGAUCUUGGGGACCUUUGUCCCACUAAAUUUAGCCCUUUUGAUUACUUUUGUUUGCCUCAAAGAAAACUUGCUGCCGAACGUAGAGAAUAUGAGAUGAGCUUUCAAGAUAUAUCUUAUUAUUAUGGCACUACUUAGAUCUAUCCUUGCUUUUAUGCCUAGUUAGGGGCGUUAAACGAUAGCGCUAGUUGGGAGGCAACCCAAUUUUUCUUUAUGUUUUUUUGUUUUUGCUCCUGUUUAGUAAUAAAUCUUGCAUCUACCUUCUGGUUAGAUGUGUUUUUAUCUUUUAAUUAGUGUUUGUGCCAAGUAGAACCUAUAGGAUAACCUACGAUGAUAGUUGAUUUGAUUCCGCUGAAAAACAGAAACUUUGCACGCAGGAAUAUAAUUUUAUUAAAUCACAGGAACGUGCUUUUGCGUUGAUUCUUUUUUCUUAUGUUAAAUAAACAAAUUGUCCAGGACUUCCUAUUUUGGUAGGAUUUUUCAGGUUCCAUAAGUUUGCAUUAGUUACAGAUUGCUACAGACUGUUAUGUUUUUGACAGAUUCUGUUUUUCGUGUGUUGUUUGCUUGUUUCAAUGCAUCUAUGGCUAGUAAAUUAGUUUAUAAACCAUAAGGAAGUUGGAAUAUAGUAGGUUUAACACCAAAAUAAAUAAAGAAUGAGUUCAUUGCAGUACCUUAUGUGGUGGUUUUGUUUUCUUUCACUAACGGAGCUUAUAAGAUUUCCUGUUGAGUUUUGUGUUGUGAAGUUUUCAAGUUUUGGGUAAAGCUUUUAUGGACUAUGGAAUAAAGGGUGGCAAGAGCCUAAGCUUGGGGAUGCCCAUGACACCCCAAGAUAUUCAAGGAUAUCCAAAAGCUUAAGCUUGGGGAUGCCCCGGGAAGGCAUCCCCUCUUUCGUCUUCGUUCAUUGUUAACUUUACUUGGAGCUAUAUUUUUAUUUGCCACAUGAUAUGUGUUUUGCUUGGAGCGUCGUGUAUUAUAUUAGUCUUUGCUUUUUAGUUUACCACAAUCAUCCUUUCUGUACACACCUUUUGGGAGAAGCCUAUUUGAUUAGAAUUUGCUAGAAUACUCUAUGUGCUUCACUUAUAUCUUUUGAGCUUGAUAGUUUUUGCUCUAGUACUUCACUUAUAUCUUUUAGAGCACGGUGGUGUCUUAAUUUUGAAGAAAUUGCUAGCCUCUCAUGCUUCACUUAUAUCUUUUUGAGAGUCUCUUAGAACAGCAUGGUAUUUGCUAUGGUUUUAAAGUUGAUCCUAGAAUGAUGAGUAUCCAAGUUGGGUAUAAUAAAAACUAUCAUAGAAAGUGAAUUGGAUGCUAUGAUCAACUUGAUGCUUGAUAAUUGUUUUGAGAUAUGGAGGUAGUGAUAUUAAAGUCAUACUAGUUGGGUGACUAUGGAUUUAAAGAAUGCUUGUGUUGAAGCUUGUGAUUCCCGUAGCAUGCACGUAUGGUGAACCGCUUUGUGAUGAAGUUGGAGCACAAUUUUAUUUAUUGAUUGUCUUCCUUAUGAGUGGCGGUCGGGGAUGAGCGAUGAUCUUUUCCUACCAAUCUAUCCCCCUAGGGGCAUGCGUGUAGUACUUUGGUUUUUCAUGACUUCUAAAUUUUUGCAACAAGUAUAUGAGUUCUUUUGAUUAAUGUUGAGUCCAUGGAUUAUACGCACCCUGUCACCCUUUCACCAUUGCUAGCUUCUCUUGUACCACGCAACUUUCGGCGGUACCAUAUAUCCACCAUUUACCUUCCUCAAAACAGCCACCAUACCUACCUAUUAUGGCAUUUCCAUAGCCAUUCCGAGAUAUAUUGCCAUGCAACUUUCCAUCGUUCCGUUCAUAUGACACGCAUUACUUUUGUCAUAUUGCUUUUUGCAUGAUCAUGUAGUUGACAUUGUAUUUGUAGCAACGACACCUUCAUAAUUUUCAUAUAUGUCGCUCUUGAUUCAUUGCAUAUCCCGGUACAGCGCCGGAGGCAUUCAUAUAGAGUCAUAUCUUGUUCUAGCUUUGAGUUGUAAAUCCAUAAAAGUGUGAUGAUCUUCAUUAUUAGAGCAUUGUCCUAGUGAGGAAAGGAUGAUGAAGACUAUGAUUCCCCCACAAGUCGGGAUGAGACUUCGGACUUGACAAAAAAAAGAGAAAAAAAAAGAGAAAGGCCAAAAGAAAAGAAAAAAAGAAAGAAGAAAAAAAUAAAAUGAGAGAAAAAGAGAGAAGGGACAAUGCUACUAUCUCUUUUUCCACACUUGUGCUUCAAAAUAGCACCAUGAUCUUCAUGAUAGAGAGUCUCAUAUGUUGUCACUUUCAUAUACUAGUGGGAAUUUUUCAUUAUAGAGCUUGGCUUGUAUAUUCCAAUGAUGGGCUUCCUCAAAAGUGCCCUAGGUCUUCGUGAGCAAGCAAGUUGGAUGCACCCUACUUAGUUUCUUUUGUUGAGCUUUCAUAUAUUUAUAGCUCUAGUGCAUCCGUUGCAUGGCAAUCCCUACUCACUCACAUUGAUAUCUAUUAAUGGGCAUCUCCAUAGACCGUUGAUACGCCUAGUUGAUGUGAGACUAUCCUCUCCUUUUUGUCUUCUCCACAACCACCAUUCUAUUCCAUAUAUAGUGCUAUGUCCAUGGCUCACGCUCAUGUAUUGCGUGAAAGUUGAAAAGUUUGAGAUUAUUAAAGUAUGAAACAAUUGCUUGGCUUGUCAUCGGGGUUGUGCAUGAUUAAAUACUUUGUGUGAUGAAGAUAGAGCAACAGCCAGACUAUAUGAUUUUGUAGGGAUAACUUUCUUUAGCCAUGUUAUUUUGAGAAGACAUGAUUACUUUGAUUAGUAUGCUUGAAGUAUUACUAUUUCUUAUGUCAAUAUGAACUUUUAUUUUGUAUCAUUUGGAUCUGAACAUUCAUGCCACAAUAAAGAAAAUUACAUUGAGAAUUAUGCUAGGUACCAUUCCACAUCAAAAAUUCCUUUUUUAUCAUUUACCUACUCAAGGACGAGCAGGAAUUAAGAUUGCGGAUGCUUCAUACGUCUCCAACGUAUCUAUAAUUUUUGAUUGUUUCAUGCUAUUAUAUUACCCCUUUUAGAUGUCUAUGGGCUUUAUUUUACACAUUUAUAUCAUUUUUGGGACUAACCUACUAACCGGAGGCCCAGCCCGUAUUGCUGUUGUUUUUUUGCCUAUUUCAGUAUUUGAAGAAAAGGAAUAUCAAACUGAGUCCAAACGGAAUGAAACCUUCGGGAGCGUGAUUUUUGGAACGAACGUGAUCCGGAGAGCUUGGAUUGCAAGUCAAGAAGCAGCCGAGGUAGCCACGAGAUAGGAGGCCGCGCCCCCUGUCUUGUGGGUCCCUCGGGCGACCACCGACGUACUUGUUCCUCCUAUAUAUACCUACGUACCCCGAAAACAUCCAGGGGCACCACUAAACACAAUUUCCACCGCCGUAACCUUCUGUAUCCGUGAGAUCCCAUCUUGGAGCCUUCGCCGGCACUUUGCUGGAGGGGGAAUCGACCACGGAGGGCCUCUACAUCAACAUCCUUGCCCCUCCGAUGAGUUGUGAGUAGUUUACCACAGACCUACGGGUCCAUAGUUAUUAGCUCGAUGGCUUCUUCUCUCUUUUUGGAUCUCAAUACAAUGUUCUCCCCCUCUCUUGUGGAGAUCUAUUUGAUGUAAACUCUUUUUGCGGUGUGUUUGUUAAGAUCCGAUGAAUUGUGGGUUUAUGAUCAAGUUUAUCUAUGAAUAAUAUUUGUAUCUUCUCUAAAUUCUUUUAUGUAUGAUUGAGUUAUCUUUGCAAGUCUCUUUGAAUUAUCAGUUUGGUUUGGCCUACUAGAUUGGUCUUUCUUGCCAUGGGAGAAGUGCUUAGCUUUGGGUUCAAUCUUGCGGUGUCCUUACCCAGCGACAGAAAGGGUUGCAAGGCACGUAUUGUAUUGUUGCCAUCGAGGAUAACAAGAUGGGGUUUAUAUCAUAUUGCAUGAGUUUAUCCCUCUACAUCAUGUCAUCUCGCUUAAUGCGUUACUCUGUUCUUAUGAACUUAAUACUCUAGAUGCAUGCUGGAUAGCGGUCGAUGUGUGGAGUAAUAGUAGUAGAUGCAGGCAGGAGUUGGUCUACUUGUUAUGGACGUGAUGCCUAUAUACAUGAUCAUGCCUAGAUAAUCUCAUAACUAUUCGUUUUUCUAUCAAUUGGUCGACAGUAAUUUGUUCACCCACCGUAAUACUUAUGCUAUCUUGAGAGAAGCCUCUAGUGAAACCUAUGGCCCCCGGGUCUAUCUCUUAUCAUAUUUGCUUUCAAUCUACUUUUAUUUGCAUCUUUACUUUUUUGCAUCCAUAUUAUAAAAUACCAAAAAUAUAUAUAUCUUGUCAUACUAUCUUUAUUAGAUCUCACUUUCACAAGUGGCCAUGAAGGGAUUGACAACCCCUUUAUUGUGUUGGUUGCGAGUUCUCAGUUUGUUUGUGUAGGUGUGUGGGACUUUUGAGGAGCCUCCUACUGGAUUUAUACCUUGGUUCUCAAAACUGAGGGAAAUACUUACGCUACACUUGCUGCAUCACCCUCUCCUCUUCGAGGAAAACCAACGCAAGCUCAAGACGUAGCAGACCAUGUUGUUCGGACACCGGAAGCGUUAUAGAGAGUUUCGGAUACAACCAGAGUGCCGGAAGGGGUUACCGAAACCCCCGGGAGAACUAAUGGGCCUGUAUGGGCCUUAGUGGGAAGAGAGGAAGGUCCAGGAGGGGCUGGCCGCCCCCUGGGUCGGAAUUUGACUAGGGGAAGGGGCGGCGCCCCCCUUUCCUUCCCUUCCCCCUCUUCCUUCCUUCCCCCUCUUUCCCUCUUGGUGGAUUCCUACUAGGACUUGGAGUCCUAGUAGAAUUCCCCUCUUGGGGCGUGCACUAGGGGCCGGCCAGCCCUCCCCUCCUCCAUCCUUUAUAUACGGGGGAGGGGGCACCCCAUAGACUCCAAGAUUUGUCUUAGCCGUGUGCGGUGCCCUCCUCCACAGUUACAUACCUCGGUCAUAUCAUCGUAGUGCUUAGGCGAAGCCCUGCGCCGGUAACUUCACCAUCACCGUCGCCACGCCGUCGUGCUAAUGGAACUCUCCCUCGGCCUCAACUGGAUUAAGAGUACGAGGGACGUCACCGAGCUGAACGUGUGCAGAUCGCGGAGGUACCGUGCGUUCGGUACUUGAUCGGUUGGAUCGCGAAGACGUUCGACUACAUCAACCACGUUACUUAACGCUUCCGCUUUCAGUCUACGAGGGUACGUGAACACACUCUCCCCGCUCGUUGCUAUAUGCUUCUCUUAGAUAGAUCUUGCGUGAUCGUAGGUAAAAAAUUUGAAAUACUAUGUUCCCCAACAUGUCGGUGGUUGAUAAACUAGUAUCGGCGGUCCUUAUGAACUGUGACAAUCAAACUGUGAUUUGUGAUUGCCAAGGCUAAGAGUUCAAAGGACAACUUGAAAUCCACAAAGCACAUAAGAAGAAGAUUGAAAUCCAUCCGGCAUUCUAGAAACUCCGGAGUGAUAACAUUGGAUUACAUCCAAACAACUAAGAAUCUGGUGGAUCCCUUCACGAAAGGGCUAUCACGGAUUGUGAUAGAAAAUGCAUCGAGGGAGAUGGGUAUGAGACCCACGUAAGUUUCCACGAGGGUAACCCAACCUAUGUGAUCGGAGAUCCCAUGAAUUAAGACAUGGGAUAACAAUACAUUUGUCAACUAAGGAGAGUAUUCUUUAUUAACCAACUCCGUUGGAGAUGCAAUAAUACUCUCAAUUAUGUAAGGCAGGCUGAUUUUUGUCUUAACGUGUUCCAAAGCUUGUGUAAGCAAGAUGCAAACCUAUAGAGCAUUCUUUGAAGUAACACACCUAUGUGAGCCCGACUGCGUGUCACAGUCUAUGAGAUUGGGUAAUCUCUAGGAAGCUCGUGAGAAGGUGCGGAGUAUGACUAAUAAGCUCCACCCGUGGGGUUUUGCCUUCGGCAGCCAUGUAUCAGCUGACAAUAGGCGAAACUUCUGCACGCCAAACUGAUAAUUCAAGGCAUAGUCCAUUGUUCAGUUGUGAAGAAGUCUAAUCCUGUUGCUCAAGGUGGAAGUUCAACUUAACAGUCUCCAGUUAUAAAACAUUGUUUGAAACAGUUAACAAACUUAUGUGUCUCGAGAUCUGGUGGGGGAUUGUUGAAUCAUGGAUGGGCUUUAGGCCCAUAUGAACAAUGAUUCCUGGUUAAUCCUGAGUCCCAUGUAGGAUAUGGCAGGUGGUGGAAAGUUUAGUACCACCUUGCUAGUUGAGGAGAGUUGAGACCCCUUUGUAAGGCCUGCUCUACCACUUGCCAUUGGGAGCUUCGGAAGAGGAGUGGUACACGCGCGCUCCUCCUCCGCCGCCGCCCGCCUCGCCACGACGCGCGGGUUGCAUGAGUGAGACGAGACGAAGCUUGUUUUUACCGGUCACGAACUGAUUUAUUAAUCUAGGAUUAAUUAACGACUGUUUACUCGUGGAUUAGUCUCGGAAAAGUGCUAAUAUAUCCAACAGUAACUUAUUAUUUCCCUGCUUUGUGUUGGAUUUUGCAUCCACCCUCAUCGAAGCAUCACAUCAUUGAUCGAGAAAGUAACUCAGGAAUAUAAAAAUACCUUAGGGAUGAGCGACAUUGGGGAAAAUGCUAACCUAGAUAGCCUAUUUGUUGUACCAAAUUUUCUCUUGGGCAUGAACCUGAUGAGCUUAUAGCAUUCCCCCAGUCUUCCCAUUUGCGUCUAUCUUCCUUUUCUUGAUUUGAUACUGACGAGGACCACAUGUACAACCUACUCCUCCAUCUGGUACCUUUGCUGGCAAGGCCUCCGUUGUGCGCCGACAAUGCCCACAUAGAGCUUGAUCUGGCGACUCCUUCCUCUUCAAGUGCCAUGCAUGGAUCUAUUUGUCAAGGAGAACAUCCAGUAUGAGUUGCAUAACCCGAGGAGGGGGCUGGGCACCUGAGCAACCCAAGACAUUCGAUCAGAAAGGCUAGCACCUAUUUCAUGUUUAGUAGAGUAACCAUGUGCUUAUUGACCAAUUUCUAGAUUAUAAAAUUUCAAUUUGUAUAGACCCUUAGGAGUCAUUGGAUGGGUAGGUCGCUUAAUCUAGACCUGGAUGUGACGAUUUUGAGAAUUUCUCUUUGGUCAAACACUCUUUGUAAAUUGUAAUUUGAACCUGAUGUUGCAUUAUCUUUUAGACUAUGCAUGGCUUCCUCAUCCAAAAUACCCUGCCUUUUAUAGUGGAGUACAUGACAUUGUUGAGUGCACUUGUGUUCAUAUAGAUGGAGUCAAGUGUAAGAUGUGAUUGUUUAGUGAACAAUUAUAGCACUCGCUGCAAGCCAUCUUUCAUUUUUAUAGCAAGUGUAAGAUGGAGUCAAGUGUAAGAUGUACUUUUUACCUUUUUAAAGGUAACCAUGGUGCAUCUUAACAUUUUGCCCUCACCCUUUCCGCCCAAAAAAAGUAACCAUGGUGCAUCUUGUUAAGAGAUUGCAGUAUUUCUUAUGCGGGUGUACUGAUGGCUGAAGCUCUGGCCCUAUAAUGCGGCCUAUCGAUGGCGCAAAGGACAUGAUACAACCACAUCAUUAUUAACUCAGAUAAUAUGGAGGUGAUCGACACCACGAAGGAAGGAGGACGAUCAUCGGGAGCACCAAUGGCAAUUUUUUUUGUUUUUUUCAUUUAACUUGUGACUUUCCCAUUUCUAGAUUUGAGCACUAUAGUAGAGAAACAAAUAAAGUCACUCAUGAACUUGCCAAAUUAGCUAGAUUUUCUUUCAUUUCUGAAUGGUUCAAGGAACUAAAUAGUGACAUUGUACCAAUCCUCAUAAACGAUGUAAUAGUUAUUCCUAAUGAAUAAAGCUCGAUUUUCUUUCAAAAAAAAGAAAGAGAUUGCAGUAUUUCUUAUUGUCCAACCCACUUUCUGGUACCUACAAAUCUAUCUAUCCACCAAAGUCACUUCUCUUGAUGUACCUUACCAGGACAAUUAAGAUUAACAAAUAUGUAAUGCAAAUGAUUUUCAUCCCGUGAGUAAAGUCAUACCUACUUGUCUGGCAUACCGUACAUUCUUUCUUUCUACAUAUGCUCGAUGAAGGAUGUCAUGCAAUGCAAGGAGUGGCCCAUGUAGUGAAGCUAUCAAAGACGCAGCAUGUGUUAUUCUCUUGUAUUGGAUUUUGCAUCCACCCUCACGAAAGUAUCACAUCUUUGAGCGGAAAGGCAACUCCGAAAUAUGAUAAUACCCCCGGGAUGUGAGACAUUGGGAAAACAAUUCAAUCUAGUCGCCCUCUUAAGAGUACAAUACUUUUCUUUGUGCUUAAAUUUGGUGAGUUUGAAGGCACUCCGUCCAUCUUCCCAGUUGUGUCUAUCUUCUGUUCCCCGAUUCGGGAUCGAAGAGUACACCCCACUUCUCCAUCUGGUGGCUUUGCUGAUGGGUGGCGGGCCACGAGCUAACAACGGACACAUCGGGCUCUAUUUGGUGACUUUUUCCUUGGUGUGCGCCUAGCAUAAAUGUUCAUUUGCUCCAUGUGUGCUUAUUUGCCUGUUUUUUUUCAAAAUAAUUAUCUGCCUGUUUUGGGAUUAUAACAUUUCGGUUUGAUAGAAUCUUAGGAGUAUUUGGAUGUGGUAGGUCGCUUAAGCUAAACCUGAUUUGAAUCCAUAUCCUCCUACUCAAACAUGGUUCCAAUGGGCAAAUAUCCACAGAGCAAAUUAAUUCACUCACAUGUCGAUUUUGCAAAUGAGAUUCUCACUCCAGCAACAACAAAAUAAUCAGUCCAACAACCACACACAAGCAUUCUAUUUAUUUCAUACUUCCAAAGCAAGAAAAACGCUACAGAAGUAUAUUAGAAUAUACUGCAUGCUUCAUACAGAGCAACGAUGGCUGACCAAUGUACAGAUGCAGAAUACCAAGAGAGAUUUCAUGCUCAAUAGAAACUCUGCACGAAGAAAGGCGGGUUGGUUCUCAACUUUGAAUAAAUUGUAUGCAAGAAUUUUAAAUCACGAGAGAAGGAAGUUGUAAUUGUUCGCUUUAGUGCCACACAUAGCUGGGCCAGCAGACCAGAACACAGUUAAUGAACAUACAAUAGCAACUUGGAGCAGCAACAACACCUUGUGUUACCGAAAAAGGGUUUCCCCCCGCUUUGUAUUCCAAAGCACCAACACCGAGUACAGAGAUCGCUGUGGCAAGCAGCACAACACACCAAAAGAAAAGGAAGAAGAAACAAAUGCCAGCUACGGCAGCUCGGCAAAGCACGGAUGACCCGCCACCGCGGCGCCCACCGGAUAAAAACCACCACAGACCGAGGUUCCGAACCGCCGCGUACCAAGCAGCACCUCCAAGAAGGAAUGCGACGCCGACGACGCUGCUACCCGGACGAGUCCUAGGGUUUCCCCCGGCACGCGGAGGGAGGUGGGGGGUGAAUACCACCGACACCCUCCAGGAAGGAAUGGUGGCACCCGCAGGUGUCACCGCGUCGGGGCCGAAGCCGGCAGGGAUUUCUCCCGCAUUCCCAGACCCAACCGCCCAACCGGAUGAAACCAACCCGCCAAACCGUCGCCCACCCCCAUGCGCCAACGCAGAAACGCCGCCACCAACGCCGCCUCACUACAAACACCACCACGAGGCCAAGAGGACCGGAGAGAAGCGCACCACGACGGGAGCAGCAACACCGACGCCGAGCGGGAGGGAACCACCUCCACCGCCGUCAUGCGGGAGGCCCAUGCCUCCGGCACCAUCGCAGUAGCUAUCCGGACAUGGCCGCGGGGCAUGCCGGGCCACCCCUGGCCCAGCCAGGCCCGCAGUGGGCCCGUUAAGCCCCGCCGGCCAUGAUGCAGCAGGUCGGCGUCGGCGCCGCCAGCACCCAGCCACUCGUCGCGUCUCCCCCGCCUCCUAGAAGCCACGCCGGAGACGAUCCCCGCCGCCGGCCCGCCCAAGCCCAGAUGGGGCCCGAAGGGCCCCGAUCUGGACCGAGCGGACGACACCAGAUCGCGCCGCCCCGCCGCCAACGGCGGCCCCGCCGCCCAGCUGUCCGCCUGCGUCGCGCGACAGAGCCCCGUCGCCACGCCAGACCAUCACCGCCGAAGAGCACCCCCGGAGCAGCUCCGCCCGCGCCGGAGAGCGACCGAGAGGGGAAGGGCAGGGAGGCCGCCGUCACCAUCAGCCCCGGGGCAGGCCGGCCGCGGGCGCCGGCGACGGCGGCGAGAGGGAGGGAGGGAGGGGAUGGCUGGAGGGAGGAGGAGGGACGCGCGGCCAGUCGCCCGCGGGGGGGCGACGCGGUCGCGGGAGAGGGGGGGCUCUCACUUCGCCCCUUCCACCAGACAAUGUUUUCACCAACACCUUGUGUUAUAACAUGGCUUGUGAGUGUAGAAAUACAUGACAAUGUAGUUCCCAUCUUAUUAGAAUUAUACUUCGUCAUCUAUUUAGUAAUGUAUAAGACACAUGGCAAUAGUGAAAAAACAAAUAGAAUAAUGGACCAUUUUUGUGAAGGUCUGGCGACCAAAGAUUCCAGUGUCAUGACUCAUGAGAUCAGAUGUGUCAUCAAUGAUAAGCUUGCAGUCAUAUGUUCAUAGCCACAUCCUUUUUUGGCUAUUUAGGUUAUCAUAAACAGACACGUUCAUACACAACAGGACAGACCAAUGGAUCUCAAUGGCGUAAUCUUGAUGAAAUAUCCAAUAUUCUGCUAUUGUAGUUCCCAUCAUUAUUCAGAAAUGUUGUCUCGACAAGCCCAAAGUAGAAGCAAUGAUCAACUAGAUAGGGAAAUCUCCUAAUGCCCCCGCUUAUAACAGGGAACUCUGGAACAACAGCAAAAGAAACGAAUCCGUCUCUUCUCAGAAUUAAUAGCUCUAAGCUUGACAAACAAAUCUUUAUGUACUGGAUUGCAAAACUCACAAGACUGUGCAAGGAGUUAUAUAAUACUCCAAAUUAAUAGCUUUGGUACCAAGGCCGUCCUCACAGAUGGAAAAGGACACAUAUGCUUUCAUCUCUAACUGAAAUUAUCAAAAUAUAAAUAGCCAAAGGACAAUACGGGUGAGCCCUUUAGCUGUAUCUUGUGUUGACCUGCUAGACCAAGUUUGUCGUAUGUACUGUUGGUAAAUUUGAAUCAGAUAGAUUAUCGACACCAGCUAAGCUUGGCUAGUGAUGAACUGAUAACCUCCAUCAGAUCCAAGCUAGUCUGAAGUACUUCAACUGCAGCUCAAACUAAGUGGACUAGAAGUAUAGGAAUGUUGGUACUUACUAGCUUACCCCGCGCGGCGACACGCCGCGCCCGGCGACCAGUCGUGACAUGUAGACUAUAGUCCGCAAUAGAGUAAUAAAUAAUUCAUGAAGACAACUAUCAACAGUCAAUGUGCCGGAUAACAUUUAAAUAUGUACAUGAAGGAUUCAUGUUUUCACAAAACAAUUCAAGGAGUUUAAGCACCAAGAUAUCAACAGAGUGAUGUAUUAUCAAUGUGUCAUACUCCCUCCGUUUCUAAAUAUAAGUUUUUGGAGAGAUUUCACUAUGAACCACAUACGGAUGUAUGUAGAUGCAUUUUAGAGUGUAGAUUCACUCAUUUUGCUCCGUAUGUAGUCCAUAAUGAAAUCUCUACAAAGACUUAUAUUUAGGAACAGAGGGAGUACAUCGAUUCCGCAGAUAUCUCAACUUCAAAUCCAAAAGAAAGAAAGGUAUAACAACCAUUUCGACCUUAUUCAAUGGUAAGUAUCAUGCAUACUUUUUUGGUGCUUCUCGCCGGAAGCACUUUCGUGGAAGGAACACCAUUCAGAAGAUAAUUCCGCUCUAAAAGAAAGAAAGUUUUACCAACUAAUUCGGCCUUAUCCAAUGGUAAUGUUGUGCAGGCCAUUUUGGCACUUCUCACUUAAAGCACUACUAUGAAAGAACAAUGUAUACAAUAAUCUGAACUGCAGUACUAUCAUGAAAAGGAACAUAUUACAGAAAAACUCACAUGGAACACUAAAUUAGCCAGUCCAAGUAAUGUACAAUGAAGCUGCUCAUGCAUAAACAUGACAGUAAAUGAAAAACCUGAAAUUUUAAUACUUCCCUACCACGGUACCAAGAAUACACGAAACACACAUGUGCGUGGAAAGUCAAACAAAACCAACUCAUUCAUGCUUUGAAGUCGGAGCUACGUUGGAGCGUGCCCAGUGGUGACGAUGACAGACAUUCGGUGGCCGUUUGCGGUGGGCAUGGUCGGCGCAAGUCCUGCAUAUUUCCCUUGUGUUGUUCGUCGUCAAAGUCGGAGCUGUCGGUUGCUUGCGCGUGUGGCCAUCCAUUGGCAUGUGCCGUCAUGUCUUGUUCCAUGUCGGUGGCCAGGUUGGCCGGUGGUGCCCAUUCAUGUGGGUUGUGAUGUAUCGGUUUUAGCCCGGUUUUCCAUCAAUUAAUCGGGCAAUUCUCUUCUUCUUAAUCAAUUAAAAUGACAAGUCUUUUACCUCGUUUCGAAAAAAAAAUGUUUUGCUGGAAAUUAACGAACCUUGGAGGAUUGAGAUGUUGUUUCCCUGCACCCCUUGUUCUUCGCUGCAUGCGGUCCCAACUUCCACACAUUAAUCCUCUGCUUGGAGAUUAGAAGAUCUUGGACGUGGCCAUUUCCUCUCUAUAUACAAUUCCCCCAAUAUAUAUAAGCAAAAUGAUACAAAAGGUUCGCCAAAAAAUCAAACUCUCUAUGUACGGUCCUCCCAAUAUGUAAUAAAAUGAUACGAAAGGUUAGCCAAAAAUCAAACAGCCUGCCGGUGAAGGAGCAUUGUUGUUGGCUGCUGGGUUGCUUUGAAGAUGGUUUUCAUCUUGGAAAAUAAAUGGUAGAAUUUGCCUGACCAUAUUAGCAGAGCGUACCCCUUCAUCAUUGACCCCACACAUUUCAAGUACUGCUUCUACAGGCUCAAGUAAAAGCACUGGUACAUGCUUACUUGUACCAUUUGCUCGGGGAAUUACUCCAAGAAAUGGUGAUCGGAUCCAUCAAAAACCAACUAUCCACUAAGAAAUAGGACCCUAGCCGUUCUGCUGACCAUGGGAAGUCUGAGAAGUGCUCCCCGCAUGGACAUCGACCAGGUGUCUUAUAUUACCUAAAGCAAAACCCAUUGAUGAGGAAAGCACUAUUGUUUGAAACAAUAAAAUGUAAUCAUGUAGACCAGGAUACCGUUGACCAGCAUGCGAAGACUUAUCAAAGAAUGUCAUGCAAAACGUGACGCUAACUCAGUUAUGUGAAGCGUAGUAAGAUCAUGGGGUACAGGUGAUUGUUUCAUAGGGUUUUAAGAACUUAACUAUCAACAAUAACCUGAACAUUGAGUAACCAAGAUUGUAGACCAUAUGUGAUUGAGUGGUAGCACAAAGCUUGCAUCUUGGUUGUUCCUUCUCUCCCUUCUCUGUUUUACUCUCUUACAAACAUUCUGAAUUUUUAACAUUUGCAUGCAGUUUCUGAACUGAACUUCGUGCAGGUAGACCAUCUCAUUGUUGCCUAUUCUAGAUGUGUACAACAUAAGCAAAAGAUAUAACAAUAAUGUACUCCCUCCAUCCCAAAAAAAGUGUCUCAGUUUUGUACUAACUUUAGUAUAAAAUUGUACUAAGGUUGAAACACUUAUUUUAAGACGGAGGGAGUACAACAUUGCAAUACAGUCAAGAUCUAAGAACUGAUCUCCUGCUUUACAAUCUCAUCAAAACAGCCGCAUCCUUCCAUGAUCAAAAUCUCAUUGCCUAUAUGCAAUAGUUCAGUUAGUACAGCAGCAAAUGAGUUCCUGCCUUCCUGGGCAACUAUGAUGCAAAUUUGUUAGGAUUGCCUUCAUAUGCAACUCCGCUGUUCCAUUCAUCUUUGGAACUGCUAAUCUAGUUCAGGUUUGCAUCAGCUUGCACCAAGCUCUCGUGACAGUUACACAACCAUGGGAUUCUUCCAGGUUAAAUCAACAAUAACAUCACGCCAUGCACCCUUUGAAGGGAAGAAAACUGACCAACCUGAAAUUGAAAAGCUACAAUGUUUUUUCAGUAAUGUGCAGCAAAAAUCCAUCCAUCUCGUGCUUCUAGAGGGGCUUCUUUUUUACAAUUUUUCUCUUCUUCACCCUACAGUAAAGUUCUGUCACAGUUAGGAAACAAUACUUUCCAAAUUUUUAUUUUCUAAAAAAGAAAGCAAUAGCUUCAAAGGCAGAGAAAAGCAAAAAAUAUCCAAUCGCAUUAGUCACUUGGCAAUAAAAAUAUCUUGCUUGGUAUGUGGUGGGCGAAGGGGUUUCCUGACCAAGUUGAAUCGACAACAUGGCACCCGCACCUUGGAAAAUCGUUUGCAUAGUUUUGAGACCCUUGUUCCGGAGCAUUACCUGUUCUGCAUGUAUGACGAUCAUUAUGACUUCUUCGUAACAGAUUAGAAUAGAAUAAGAGCAAAUAAGUAGAAUAAAUAAGUAAAACACUAAUGCUUACUGGUCUGGUGAUGUUUUACUCAGUCCUCUGUGUUGGUCGGGGGAUAGAUCAAAUAGACCCUGGUUUUGCUGGAGCUUGAAAUCCACUGAACUUACAACAUCCAAAGAAGGCUCACCCUGGACCGACAAGAUUACCUUCUAUUUAUCCGUAGCCUUCCCAGGUUGAAGAAAGUUUAAAUGAGGAUAAAUGGAAUAUGACAUGUACAGUAUAUGAAGCAGUACCAGUUCAGUAUAUUCUACAAGGAUACACAUUCAAGAUCCGUGAGGACAACAAUUUAAGGCUACUGGAAAAAAAAUAAAAAUUCUUCAGCAUCAAAACCAUGGAAAUUAAUGGUGGAUACACCAACUACCUUGGCCAACCCAAUUUAUUGUAGGGCUUGGAAUUAUUUAAAUUAAAGCCAAAAACAUGUCUAAACAGCAAUAAGAAAAAUUAAUCAAGAUUACCAUUUUCAAGGCUGUAGAACUGCAGCUAAAAACAACCGGUGUACUUACAACUUGCGCCAGAAUUAAUAAGAAGCAUGGUUGAUUAAGGACGCCGAUAAGUGCCACACGUGUGGGCGUUAGGAAGUCCGCCCACAUAUUUUGUGUGGUGUAUACGAGGAACAGUCCACAUAUCUACGUGUGGGCAAAACAAGUAAUGCCCACACACCUCUUUUUUCCCUCUCGAUCCCUUUCACACGCGUGCGUGUGGGCAAAGUUGAUAACGCCCACACACCCAUAUGUCAGGCCUCGUACCUCCUAGUCUCGCACGCCACGCGUAAUGGUCACCGCAUGCCCGCAGUUGCCAUGGUCCAGACCCUCGUCCUUGUUCCUUUAACUGCAGUUGCCAUGUCGCUGAACUACGGUUGCCAUGUCGGACAACUGCAGUUGCCAUGAUUGCUCAACUGCAGUGGCCAUGUAUGGUCUAAUCUAAUGUAGUUGCCAUGAUUUCAUAACUUUAGGAGUUGCCACAUACUAACAAUAGACAGUUAAGAGAAUUGCCAUGUGCUCACAAGCAUGCUAGGACAGUUGCCAUGUAAAAGGCAGAGUUGUCAUCUGCUUACGUACACGUUAGGACAGUUGCCAUGUACCAUGCAAAAACACAUGGCAACUCAGUAAAAAAGAGUUGUCAUCUGCUUACGUGCACAUUAGGCAGUUGCCGUGUACCCUGCAAAACACAUGGCAACUCGGGUAAAAAGAGAGUUGUCACCUGCUUAUAAAACACACUAGGGACAGUUGUCAUGUGCACUGCAAAGCACAUGGCAACUAGCAGCUUGGGUGUGGGAGAGGAGACGAGUGUGUGGGCGAGAUGGCAAAUGCCCACACACCAGGCCUUGUGUGUGCGUGCAAAGUGGCAUGUGAGCGAACUGCUGAACGUCCACACACCAGCCCCUCUUGUGUGGUGAAACGGCCGUGUGGGCGACCGGAUGAACGCCCACACACCAGGCCAGUCCUACGUGGCACUAGAAAUAUGCCAAAAUUCAUGCGCUCAUGAACGGACGCGGAUCCACGCGUGUGGGCGAGAUGCAAACGCCCACACGUGUGGGCGUUAACAUUUCCGUUGAUGAAUUAGUGAGGAUGGAUUAAAUAUGGGCACCCACAACCUCAAGUGUGCUCCCAGGUCAAUAGAAGCAAACACGGACACACGCACCCACCACGCAGCACGCACACAAACACACUCGGCGUACUGUGCACUGCACCAAGCCAUGCAUCACACACUAAGACACGAUACAACGGCACAACGCGAGCUGUGCACGUACUCUAUGCAGCGGCAGCCCCCGCAAGCUGGAAGUAUGCGACGCAGCGCCCGGGGCGGUAGGACGCACGACCAAGAGAGCGAGGAUGAGGCAGCCGCCAUGCGAGCUCUAUGCUGAAGUUCACAUGGAGGCAGGGCGACAGGGAGCUGGAGCGCCUCCUAGCGUCGUUUCGACGGGGCGCCGGCGGCCUGGCAUGCAUGAGGUCGACACGGCGAGCACGGGCUAGAGCUGGGUUGGAUGGGAUCCAGGCACCAACGGGUUGGGCGAGCUCGAGGCCUCGAGGUCGAGAACGCCGACGCCUCGGCCUCGGCGUCGACACGGCAGAAGCAGUCCCUUCUUGGAGUCCAGAGAGCUCAGGUCAUUGAAGGCACCGGCGCGGUCCUCUGCAGUACGCAGCUCCUCGGCGACCGCGGCAUGUAGCAUGUCAUGUCCUAGCAGUAGACAGUGACCUGAGCGCCACCAUCGCCGUCGUACACGCCGAUGAAGUGUCGUGGGGAUGCGGAAUGAGGUCGCUUAUUUGGUAGAAGCAUGGGACGACGACGAUGGCCUCCUCCAUCUCCGGGCAACGUCCGCAGCAGGACUCGAGACGCUUCCGCGUGCGCCACCAGAAACCGUCGCGGUCUCGGCAGCCACCGCAGACAGGACGUGGAGAGGAGAUAGGGCGGUCCGGCAUCGGCGGAGGCGACGCUGUUGCCGCGUCACUGGCGACGCAGCAAGCGCUCCCUCACGCGGACCCCCCUUCGUCUGGCCCGGCGUCCCAACGAUGGCGACGUAGCAGGCAGGCUAUCCGGGUGCCUGGCCGUCGCCGCGCGCGUCAACCUCCGUAGCCAGCCACCACUCACGCUCGGCCUGCUACCGGUGACGCCCACCUCCAGCGCCGGCAAUCGGAACGACCACAGGUCCACCAUGGCCGACUCUAGGUCCUCGGCCCUCACGGUGCUCGCCACGUCCGGGCCGUUCUGCAUCAAUAAUCUUCCCCAGCAGGCGAUGAAGCGGUAGGCCUCGUUACAGCCUAGCUUCUUGGAGCUGAGCACGGGCCUGUCGCAGCGGUCGUAGGCCUGCACUUGCACGCACUGGUUCUCCUCUGCCGUCAGGGCCUUGUCCAGUGGGAACGGCUAGCCGCAGCGCCAGCUCUUGCACCGCAUGAGCAGCCGGUGCUGCUUCAGCACCUGGUCCGUCCCAGGAAGGCGACCCCGACGAUGCAGACCAGCACGAACGGAAGUAGGACGAACCAUCACUAAUGCGACCACGAAUGAACACGCAGCCCAAACCG